rnacentral:rRNA from 1 species
UACAGAGGUCUCAAGCGUUGUUCGGAUUCAUUGGGCGUAAAGGGUGCGUAGGUGGCGCCGUAAGUCAGGUGUGAAAUUUCGGAGCUUAACUCCGAAACUGCAUUUGAUACUGCGGUGCUUGAGGACUGGAGAGGAGACUUGGAAUUUACGGUGUAGCAGUGAAAUGCGUAGAGAUCGUAAGGAAGACCAGGUGGCGAAGGCGGGUCUCUGGACAGUUCC